rnacentral:lncRNA from 1 species
GACAGAACCCGCACCAUAGAGGGGCCCGGGGCACAUGCCUCCCUACGAGAACCAGCACCCGUGGCACAGGGGAGGCUGAACUUCCUCUGACCCAUCUGGGUUCGGGAUGUGAAGGACCUCAGAUUGGAGCAAGUCAACCCAAGGCAACUUGAGUGAUAAGCCUGUCCUGGGGAUCAAUCCGCCCCCGAAUCCAGGAAGGCCCUAUAGAUCAGGGACCUACCCCAAGGAGCUGUUGGGGGGGGGGUGGCGGUGAGGGACAGCGCGAAGCUAGAAGGGCAUGCGAAUACCGUCUCUUUCCAGGAAGGACCAAUCCUGCGAGAUGCCCGUCACAGACACACCCAGAGGCCACGGGAAGGUGCCAACAUCUCCAGCUUGCCGGCUGUCUUCACCCCAGCCUGCGAGGGCUAUUCUGACUUGGACAGCCGUGCAGACUCUCGCGGGCAGCUGGGAGAGAGGACGGUGCAAACCCCAGGGAGGGCCCUUCACACACACCGGGGGGAGGGCAGUGGGCUUCCGGCAGCUGGCAGCUUGGUUGCCAGACGGGACUUUGGGGCCUCUCAUUCCUGAGCAGUGCGUCUGAAAAACUCACAAAUUUCCUAACAUAACUCGGGGAGCCUUGAUUGUUAAUAAAACUGUCUCUUUACUUCUUCCCUCCAGCUGCCUCCCCACGAGGGAUGCGGGUGGCGGGGGGGGGGCGGGAGGGAAUCAGGAAGGGGGGGCAAGGGGAAGACAGAUUCACUCUGCCUUAUCUCCAAAGCGUUCAGCUAAGUGCCGGAACAUAAUAAGUGCUCAAUAAAUAACCACUAUUAGAGGAGGAAGAGACGGAGGAAACCAGACAGGUCAGAAUUUAAUUCUGCCACGCAGGUCUACUGUGCUUCUGUCCAGGGAAAAAGAGCGAAAGAGUAUCUCCACUUUCCAUCUCCCUCUGCCUCCGAGGCUGACUUUGCGGCGGUGUCCUCCUGUCCCCUUUUGCCUGCCGCCUGUUGAAAAAAAAGAAAAGAAAAGAAAAGAAAAACCAAAAGCCAAUCUGGCAUGCUUGGCCGGGCCUCUACCUCCCCAGCCCACAGCCCCUCCGACUUGAUGUUUAAUUUCCCUGGGUCGAGAGGAAGCGUUCUGAUGAUCCAAGUUAAUUCAAAAUGUAAAUUUCAUCUCCUAUCGGCUAAUGGCUCUGAGCUCUGCUUUACGUAACGGGACAGCAGCUGCCUGAUGAGUCACCGGGGCCUCUGGUGCCCCUGGU